UUAACUCAAGUUUGUAUGCAGUUGGAACAGCGCCCCUAGCGGCAAACGUAUGCAAACGUUACAACUCAAUACAAAUUUGAGUUA
rnacentral:pre_miRNA from 1 species